rnacentral:rRNA from 1 species
GCCCUUAAGAUAAGAUAUCCCAUCUUUAUGAGUAAGACCCCUUGAAGACUACAAGGUUGAUAGGCACAAAGUGUAAGUGCAGUGAUGCAUUAAGCUAGCGUGUACUAAUUGGUCGAGGGCUUGUCCU